UGGGGAAUUUUGGACAAUGGGGGCAACCCUGAUCCAGCCAUUCCGCGUGAGUGAAGAAGGCCUUCGGGUUGUAAAGCUCUUUCAGCUGGAACGAAACGGUGCGCUCUAACAUAGCGUGCUAAUGACGGUACCAGCAGAAGAAGCACCGGCUAACUACGUGCCAGCAGCCGCGGUAAUACGUAGGGUGCGAGCGUUAAUCGGAAUUACUGGGCGUAAAGCGUGCGCAGGCGGAUUGUUAAGCAAGAUGUGAAAUCCCCGGGCUUAACCUGGGAACGGCAUUUUGAACUGGCAGUCUAGAGUGCGUCAGAGGGGGGUGGAAUUCCACGUGUAGCAGUGAAAUGCGUAGAGAUGUGGAGGAACACCAAUGGCGAAGGCAGCCCCCUGGGAUGACACUGACGCUCAUGUACGAAAGCGUGGGUAGCAAACAGGAUUAGAUACCCUGGUAGUCCACGCCCUAAACGAUGUCAACUGGUUGUUGGGGGAGUGAAAUCCCUUAGUAACGAAGCUAACGCGUGAAGUGACCGCCUGGAGACGGA
rnacentral:rRNA from 1 species